rnacentral:rRNA from 1 species
UACGUAGGGGGCGAGCGUUGUCCGGAGUUACUGGGCGUAAAGCGCACGCAGGCGGUCUGCUAAGUUUGGAGUGACAGUUGGUGGCUUAACUGCCAAAGUGCUUCGAAAACUGACAGACUUGAGGGCUUCAGAGGGACACGGAAUUCCGGGUGGAGUGGUGAAAUGCGUAGAGAUCCGGAGGAACACCAAAGGCGAAGGCAGUGUCCUGGGGAGUACCUGACGCUGAUGCGCGACAGCGUGGGGAGCAAACAGG